GCGACCCCAGGAUGGGU
rnacentral:rRNA from 2 species